ACCACUUUCCUAGCAGGGGAGAGGAUGCCAGAGGCGUGCGAGAAAGUACCAGCUUGAAACCCCGGAGCCAGCAAGCCAACGCUGUUUUGGUUUGAGUGGGGGUGCUGGUGUGUGUGGAUGCGAUGUAGGGCGACAAAGGAACGAGCUCUCGGCCCGGAUCAGGUCUGUGUGGAGCACAUUGCCCCGGGAUAGGUCCAUGUUUCUCCCAUCUGGAUGCUGCGUAGAAACACAAGGAGAGUAGACCGUCAAGUGCCCUUGUGGACGGGGGAACGAGCCACUGUGCUGGGCUCUGGGAGACAGUGCUCCCUACCCCCGUGGAGGUUAUGCUGAAGAGACCAACACCUCACAAAGCCAAUGUGCAUGAGAACCACCCAAGUCUCUGGUGAAAAUGCACAUCUGAUGGUGAAAAUCUACCUGAGCUCCACAACCUCUGGUGAUGCCCGAGUGCCUGUCCCCCGGACCUCGCUUUGAGUAGCAAAGGCUAGAGGGUGAUACAGCAUGUUUGUGCUUUAUUCAUCUGUGAAGAUUCCAGAAGAGAAAUAGGCAGUGUUAUGGCUCAACAAGUAUCAACUGAACAGUGGAAAUCAGUCGGUAUCGCAGAGCAUUUUAGCUGAGCUGUUGAUUUUCAACAACUGGCUGCUGGGGGACGGGGGGAGCAAGGACUGAGAAGACCUUGAACGUUUUGUACAGCUGAGAUUGUUUGCGCAUAGCAUAAGCUCUUCCUCGUCUCCCUGUCAAAACUGUCAGAAGAGCCUACUUUGUUCCCUAAUAAUCGUUGUGGACAGAUGCUUCAGGAGAACUUCAGGAAUCCUCCACAGCUGGAUCAGUGAGGCAUGGCUAAGACAGGAAGUGUGAAGCCCUUCCAGGCUUUAAUACUGUCACGACUGAAGCUAACUUUCUAAAGUUUCUUUCUCGGGCUCCAGCUUCCUCACCCAUAAAAUAGGGACAUAGCACUAUAUCCCCUUUCGGAGGAUUGCUGUGAGGGUCAGGAAGUAAAUAAAGCAAUGAGAACAACACCUGGCACGCGGUAAGCCCUAGGUCCAUAUUCGUUAUUAUCAGUCGUCAUCAACAUCAUCACAAUUCAGGGCAGAGACAGUUCACGAGGGCUCAGGAUGUGGGUGACAGAUGUUGUAAUUAGGGCUGUGGACCUGUACUUUUUUUUUUCUUCUCGAAGUUGGGUCGAUGUUUCUGUUGCAUUGACUGAACACUUUAAAACAGAGGAAGAACAGCUGAGCAGAUAGCCUAAGUAUUUAGCCCUUACUUAGACAUGUUUCCUCUGCGAUCAUUUAAUACAUGCUGAAUUUUUAAACAUUUGUGUUACAAUGUGCUUAGUGUUCUUGUUCAGUCUCUCAGUGGCAGUUUAGGAAAUUCACAGAUGCUAGCAUUUGUUAGUGAGAAGUUACAGUACAGAGCAAAAUCUGCUAUUAAAAUCGGAGUCCGGUUCAUUGGUGUCUCAUUCAGUCCUACCAAGUCACAAAACAAUGAAAUAAAGAUACGAUAUACGAUAGGGAAACCUGUGACAUAAGGUCACAGAGGUAGCAAUACUAAGACAUUAGAGUUAAGAAAGUCAGCGUGGGAGCAAAAGAUAAUUUUAUAUUCCUCAGAAAUGGCAAACAUUCUAUAUAGUGUAGGAAACAACAAUAAAUGUCCAAGGUAGAGGGACACCUGAGUGAC